rnacentral:tRNA from 1 species
CGGGAUAUGGCGCAGCUUGGUAGCGUGCCUCGUUCGGGACGAGGAGGUCGCAGGUUCGAAUCCUGUUAUCCCGA